CCCUUAGAUGUCCUGGGCCGCACGCGCGCUACACUGACAUGUUCAACAAGCCUCCUAGUUCGACAGGAUUUGGGAAAUCUUUGAACGCAUGUCGUGAUAGGGAUAGAUCAUUGCAAUUAUUGAUCUUGAACGAGGAAUUCCUAGUAGGCGCAAGUCAUCAGCUUGCGUCGAUUACGUCCCUGCCCUUUGUACACACCGCCCGUCGCUCCUACCGAUUGGGUGUGCUGGUGAAAUGUUCGGAUCGGCCGUUUGUCGCGGUUUCCGCGUCAUGUGGCUGAGAAGUUCAUUAAACCCUCCCACCUAGAGGAAGGAGAAGUCGUAACA
rnacentral:rRNA from 1 species